GGAAGCCAAUGGUUAUCAUCAAACUAACCAAUGGUUUCAUGCAAAUGCCCGAUACAACCUGGAGAUUAUGAGUGUGGAUAUUAUGUCAUGCGAUACAUGUUUGGUAUCGUGACAAAAUAUUCAUCUAUUGAUGAUUUGGAUAAGGCAUUUGAAAGCGAUAGUCCGUACUCCAUCAAUGACAUAAAUGAGAUUUGGGAGCAAUGGGCAAAAUACUUC